rnacentral:rRNA from 1 species
GCUCGUAGGCGGUCUGUCGCGUCGGCUGUGAAAACUCGGGGCUCAACCCCGAGCUUGCAGUCGAUACGGGCAGGCUAGAGUUCGGCAGGGGAGACUGGAAUUCCUGGUGUAGCGGUGAAAUGCGCAGAUAUCAGGAGGAACACCGGUGGCGAAGGCGGGUCUCUGGGCCGAUACUGACGCUGAGGAGCGAAAGCGUGGGGAGCGAACAGGAUUAGAUACCCUGGUAGUCCACGCCGUAAACGUUGGGCGCUAGGUGUGGGAUCCCUUCCACGGGUUCCGUGCCGCAGCUAACGCAUUAAGCGCCCCGCCUGGGGAGUACGGCCGCAAGGCUAAAACUCAAAGGAAUUGACGGGGGCCCGCACCAGCGGCGGAGCAUGUGG